rnacentral:rRNA from 1 species
AUUGAACGCUAGCGGGAGGCCUUACACAUGCAAGUCGAACGGAGUGGCGAACGGGUGAGUAAUGUAUCGGAACGUGCCCAGUAGCGGGGGAUAACUACGCGAAAGCGUAGCUAAUACCGCAUACUAUUAGAGCGGCCGAUUUCGGAUUAGCUAGUUGGUGGGGGAACGGCUGCCCAAGGCGACGAUCCGUAGCUGGUUUGAGAGGACGACCAGCCACACUGGGACUGGGACACGGCCCAGACGCAUACGGUAGGCAGCAGUGGGGAAUUUUGGACAAUGGGCGAAAGCCUGAUCCAGCCAUCCCGGGUGUGCGAUGAAGGCCUUCGGGUUGUAAAGCACUUUAGGCUGGAAAGCGGUACCAGCAGAAUAAGCACCGGCUAACUACGUGCCAGCAGCCGCGGUAAUAC